AACGAACGCUGGCGGCAGGCUUAACACAUGCAAGUCGAACGCGUGUAGCAAUACACGAGUGGCGCACGGGUGAGUAACGCGUGGAUAUCUGCCUUUUGGUUCGGAAUAACUCCGGGAAACUGGAGCUAAUACCGGAUGGUCCCUUCGGGAUAAAGAUUUAUCGCCAAAAGAUGAGUCCGCGUACGAUUAGCUAGUUGGUGAGGUAAUGGCUCACCAAGGCGACGAUCGUUAGCUGGUCUGAGAGGACGAGCAGCCACACUGGGACUGAGACACGGCCCAGACUCCUACGGGAGGCAGCAGUGGGGAAUAUUGGACAAUGGGGGCAACCCUGAUCCAGCCAUGCCGCGUGAGUGAUGAAGGCCUUCGGGUUGUAAAGCUCUUUUGGCGGGGACGAUGAUGACGGUACCCGCAGAAUAAGCCCUGGCUAACUUCGUGCCAGCAGCCGCCGUAAAAC
rnacentral:rRNA from 1 species